CGAGUGCCUCGAGCGUUAUCCGGAAUUAUUGGGCGUAAAGGGUGUGUAGGCGGCUAUGUUAGUCUUGUGUUAAAUCUAUCGGCUCAACCGAUAGGCUGCAUGGGAAAACGGCAUGGCUUAGAAGAUGGCAGGGGGUCUGCGGAACUCAUGGUGUAGCGGUGAAAUGCGUUGAUAUCAUGGGGAACACCAAAGCGAGGCAGCAGACUGGGCCACUCUUGACGCUGAAACACGAAAGCGUGGGUCGCGAAAUGGGAUU
rnacentral:rRNA from 1 species